UCGGUAGAGCAGGGGAUUGAAAAUCCCCGUGUCCUUGGUUCGAUUCCGAGUCCGGGCACCA
rnacentral:tRNA from 1 species